rnacentral:rRNA from 1 species
AGCGAACGCUGGCGGCAGGCUUAACACAUGCAAGUCGAACGCCCCGCAAGGGGAGUGGCAGACGGGUGAGUAACACGUGGGAACGUACCCUUUGGUUCGGAAUAACUUGGGGAAACUCAAGCUAAUACCGGAUAAGCCCUUAUGGGGAAAGGUUUACUGCCGAAGGAUCGGCCCGCGUCUGAUUAGCUAGUUGGUGAGGUAAUGGCUCACCAAGGCGACGAUCAGUAGCUGGUCUGAGAGGAUGAUCAGCCACACUGGGACUGAGACACGGCCCAGACUCCGACGGGAGGCAGCAGUGGGGGAUAUUGGACAAUGGGGGCAAACCUGAUCCAGCCAUGCCGCGUGAGUGAUGAAGGCCUUAGGGUUGUAAAGCUCUUUUACCCGGGACGAUAAUGACUGUACCGGGAGAAUAAGCCCCGGCUAACUUCGUGCCAGCCGCCGCGGUAA